GUGCGUUCCACUAAGCGCUCACGACGCUCACGCUCACGACCGCUGAUUUCCCCAUUCCACUUGAUUGUCAAUGUUACUGUCGUUAACUCAAGUGGAAUGGAUUAUGAGCGUUUCGGGCGUUCAUGUAAAUAUUACAAAUGUCAAGUUUGAAAAUAGUAGAAUUUUAAGGAGGUUAGGUAAUCAUAAACAAUAAGUUUUGAUAUUUGUGACUUAAAUUUAUUUAUGUUAAAAGUGAAGAAUAAUUGAAUAUUUUAUAAAUAAUUUUCGUGAAGUUAUCAAACAACUUAAGUUUAAAUAUAAUCGAAAUGGCUUUGACGGCAGUUGGAUAUUUGCUUAUGCAUCGCAAUAAAGCUCCAGAAACUAGUUCAUCUAGCUCAGAUGAAGAAUGGGAUGCAAUUAUAAAAAAUUAUAAUCGUGAAAACCGACAACUUAGGCCACGUAUUAUUGACUAUGAAAAUGUAAUUUUUCGCUAUUCGGAUGAAGAAUUUAAAAGUCAUUUCAGAAUUUCAAGGAACACAUUCAAUUAUUUACAUGAUAUAAUAGAAGAAAAUUUGGUUCGACAUGUCCCUGGGUGCCCUACAAUUCCAUCUCAUCAUCAAUUAAUGAUAGCCCUUUGGAAAAUGGCAACAAUGGAUUCAUAUAGAUCAGUUUGUGACAGAUUCAACGUAGGCCGAGCCACUGCUGUGAGAGCUGUACGUCGAGUUUGCCACGCUUUAUUUAUAAAAUCCUCAAGAUUUAUACAAUGGCCUACGG